GUCAGUUCCUCCAGCCUGGCCCGGGAGGGGUCCGCCUACCGGGCCAGCUGGAAGGAGAC
ensembl:miRNA